GACGAACGCUGGCGGCGUGCUUAACACAUGCAAGUCGAGCGAGUGGAUUCCCUUCGGGGAUGAAGCUAGCGGCGGACGGGCGAGUAACACGUGGGCAACCUGCCUUAUAGAGGGGGAUAGCCUUCCGAAAGGAAGAUUAAUACCGCAUAACAUCAGAUUAUCGCAUGGUAGACUGAUCAAAGGAGCAAUCCACUAUAAGAUGGGCCCGCGUCGCAUUAGCUAGUUGGUGAGGUAACGGCUCACCAAGGCGACGAUGCGUAGCCGACCUGAGAGGGUGAUCGGCCACAUUGGGACUGAGACACGGCCCAGACUCCUACGGGAGGCAGCAGUGGGGAAUAUUGCACAAUGGGGGAAACCCUGAUGCAGCAACGCCGCGUGAGUGAUGAAGGCCUUCGGGUUGUAAAGCUCUUUGAUCAGGGACGAUAAUGACGGUACCUGAAGAACAAGCCACGGCUAACUACGUGCCAGCCGCCGCAGUAAUAC
rnacentral:rRNA from 1 species